GGGCGAUAGCUCAGCUGGCAGAGCGUCUGUAGUGGUCAGCAGAGUGCCGUCGGUUCGAGCCCGACUACCUCCA
rnacentral:tRNA from 1 species